rnacentral:rRNA from 1 species
AGUGAACGCUGGCGGUAGGCCUAACACAUGCAAGUCGAACGGCAGCACAGUAAGAGCUCGCUCUCACGGGUGGCGAGUGGCGGACGGGCGAGGAAUACCUCGGAAUCUACUUUUUCGUGGGGGAUAACGUAGGGAAACUUACGCUAAUACCGCAUACGACCUACGGGUGAAAGCAGGGGAUCUUCGGACCUUGCGCGAUUGAAUGAGCCGAUGACGGUUUUGCUAGUUGGCGGGGUAACGGCCGACCAAGGCGACUACCCGUAGCUGGUGUGAGAGGAGGAUCGCCCGCACGAGAACGGAGACACGGACCAGGGGCCUGCGGGAGGCAGCAGUGUGGAAUAGGGGGCAACAGGCGGAAGUCUGAUCCAGCGAUACCGAGUGGGUGAAAAAGACCUUCCGGUUGUAAAGCCGGUUUGUGGGUAAAGAAAAGCAGCAGGUUAAUACCCCGCUGUUGUGACGGUACCCAAAAAAUAAGCACCGGCUAACUUCGUG